AAAUAGCAACAGGCGUGGUUCCUUAAUUGCAGCUGCAGCUUGAGUUCUUGAGUUAAAGCCUAUGAAGUGAGACGGUGCAGAGGGAAAGAUAACGGUAUUCAUUCACCCCUGGCACAGGGACGUCCUACGCGAAAAGUCCAGCAGGCUCCCUGAUAGCAGCACAGACAGCAGCCUGUUGUUGGGGGUUGCUGGAAUCCCCCUGGAAUCUUCCUUGCUUUGGAUAGUUUGAUGCAUAUGUCCUGUUGGCUCAGUAGACCAUCCUCCCAAGGACCAAGUGGCCCCAUCAAAUGCAGAUCCUCUUCCAGCAGGUCAUCUUCCAGAGUACCCACUACGUCACCACGUCAUCGCCUGGCUCCUGUGGUCACAUUUAUGGGAUUUUAGGGCUUCCAUUGGUCCAGGGUGUGGCUGAGGGAUUCCUCGAAGGAAGUGCUAGAAGGGGCUUAUAUGAACCUGUGAACAUCUGCCCGCGAUACAGUGGGAGGAGCGGACCGGAGAGACUGAGAUGAGGUUGAGUUCAUGUGAACCACCCAUGGCGCCGGACUGUUACGGCCAUCAGUAAAUCUACCAUCUCACUGCUAUCAAGCAUGGAGGGAGACUCAUCUCGCACUCAAAUAUCUCCGUGGGGAAUGGAAAGAUGGCAGAGAUGCAUGCCGAGGCCACUCCUUUUAUCCGGGCCAUAGAAAGAGAAACAUAGGCUUGGCUGACAAGGAAAAUGCAACAUUUUCCACACCGUGACACCUCACAUCUUCAAAUUGAUGCCUUGUCCAAAAUAGACAGAAGGAGACUCAUUGGAGGUCAUGGGAGGGCUGAGCUGACAAUCAAGCGACCGGCUGUCACUCAUAGCCCCAUCACAGCUCCAUCACCAGCCGCGCAGCGUCGAAUCUUGUGACGACCACAUGACUACAAUGGCACAUUUCUGUUCUUUUUUUGACAGGUAUGUAUCAGCUUGAUGGAUUGACAUCAACGAAAAUCUUUCAUCAAGACCCAAAUAUUCUUUGUAAUGAGCCUCAUUGUGAAACAUGAAGGCAGGCAGAUGCUCUCUUAUGGGUUCAAGUGCCAUCAAGGAAGCCAUUGUCUUCUUAAAGCCACACACUGUAUGUAUUUAUAUCAGUGGUUUUCAGCCUUCUUUGUCUCAUAUGUCCCUACAGCUUUAUAAAUCUUAACUCAAGCAACCAUUCUUUGGCAUCACUCGCCCUUGUCCAAUCAUGUUCAUUACAUUUGAUUUUUCAGGGGUUGUUGGUUCUGUUUUGUUUCACGGUGCACCAAAUAUUUUCACCCAGUGAUGGGUUUGGUAUGCAGGCAGGCCAGUUUAUCAACUAGUCUUUUCCUAAUAAGCCGCAAUGUAAUACCUAGUAAAUUAGAUAAUUAAAUGCUGUUGUUGUCUCUAGCUGGUGCCAGAAAUACUAGUUGAUUAGCUAAUUUAAAAAAAAUAUGUAGGAC